GAGAACCUAGUAAAUAUAUAUUACAUGGCCUUGUCGUGGCCAAAUUACAACCUCCUGUGGCUCUCA
rnacentral:tRNA from 1 species